rnacentral:rRNA from 1 species
UACGGAGGGUGCAAGCGUUACUCGGAAUUACUGGGCGUAAAGCGUCUGUAGGUGUUCUCCCACGUCUGGUGUAAAAGCCCGAUGCCCAACAUCGGGUACGUGCCGGAAACGAGGAGAAUGGAGCCACUCAGAGGCAUCUGGAAUGUCGUGUGUAGGGGUAAAAUCCGUUGAUCCACGAUGGAACGCCAAAAGCGAAGGCAGGAUGCUGGGGGUGUGCUGACACUCAGAGACGAAAGCGUGGGGAGCAAAGGGG